ACCGUUUUGAAUAAUACCGGGAGUAUAUCGUGUUUGCCUGAUAGGAGCGCUGUGGAGCCUUGUAGCAGUACCAACGAGAUGUUUCUGUGGUAUAACUUUCAUGGAAAUUUCAAGGUUGAUGUGACAGAUUUGAAAAAAUUUAGAAUUAGAAAAUUUGUAUUUUGUUGGAAUUUAAGGCGUUUCAAUAAAAUAUAGAAAAGAAGAAGUAAACUCUAAAUGGGCACAAAAUAUGAUUCAUGACUGAUCGCUGUUACCAUCAAUGCAGAAUAUAAUUUGCGUGACUCUUAUACUCGGAACAGAUUUCGUUUCUGUUUUAUCCUUCGUAUAAAAGGGAGUUAAUAUUAAAGCCACUAACAUCCUGCAAAAACAAACCACCAAAAUCCUACAAAGCGAGAAAUUAAACGAAUUCCUCGAGAAACCACCCUCCAUUCUGCGAUGCUGCUCAACGAUCUGAACAGCCUCCAACUUGGCGGAGCGCAACGGAAGCGGGCAAAGCAUGGAAGAAGCAAGACAGGGUCGAGCGGCAGCCUCUCUACGUGCAGGAACUCUAAAACGAUCUCGCCGGUUCACGCGAGAUAAUAUUAAUCUCCGGUCCCGUGUCGUGCCACGUCCUGUAACACAACGGCAUGCACGAAAGAGGCAAGAGAAUCUGUCGGCGCAGCGGCGCCGGCGGCGGGAAAUAGUGCUCUUGCUCUUAAGGUCGCGGGAUCACGUGCACGUGGCGUGAAGCAUCGCGUGGCUCCGUGGGAUCGCCAACCUUUUUUCCGCUGCAUCGGUGCACGCACGUUUGUUUUCUUCGACCGGUUGCAUCCUCGUGUCAGGCUUAUGCAAGCAGAUCUACCAAGACGAACACGACGUGUUUGAUUCGUGGAUGAUCGUAGAAAAGUCGCGUGGAAACGUGCUAUAACGAAGUUUUAGUUCUCGCUAGUUGUUUCUGAGUUUGAGAUUCGCGAUGAAUGCUGAGAGAAUUUUUAGUGGAUUAGAUGUUAGGUGUUUGAUAUUUUCAUUUAAAUAAAGCGGUGAUAGCGCAGAUUUUUAUAUAAGAGAGUAGAGAUGAAAUAGUGCAACGUUUCUAAAAUUUCUGUGUAGGUGAUUUUUAUUAAAUUUACUAGCCCUACUACGUUUCUUCUGUCAUCUCUCGAUCCAAUUAUAGUUUUCUAAC